GACUUAAAAUCCGUUGGCUUUAUAGACCAUGAGGGUUCAAGUCCCUCUACCCCC
rnacentral:tRNA from 1 species